UCGAUAGAAGAAAGCCUGCAAGGUAUCGACGGUGAAUCCCGCGGAUCUUUGUCGCUUUCAGUCAAUGAAGACGAUCCGGAACAAAGACUCCCUUACGGUUUGGAGGAAGCAAGGACGGAAUCGCCCCAACCGCACGAUAUCGCUGUAGAAAACGAUCUGGAACUUGGGAUCUCGCAAGAUUUUCAGGGAGGAAGGACCGAAACCGAACCACCACAGGGCAAUAAUAUUGCAUAUCCGAAGGCGGAGUAUGCGACGAAAGGGUAAUCGAGUUUCCUCAGCCCCUUCAACACAACCGACUACUUCAGUCAGUAAUCAGAAGCGGAAUAAGAGGAGAAAAGAAAUGAGGAACAAGGCGCUGACCCGACUACGAGAAGCUGCGGGCAGUGAAUCGGCGGAGAUCAAUGGAAUCGAAGAGGGAAAUACGAUUGACAACCAGACAAAUAACAAAAACAAGAUAACGGGCAAGACAAAUAAUGUGACGUUCACCCAAACACCGAGAACACCUGAAGUUCCCCCUACGAGUAUCACGUCAUCAACUCCUACUCCCGAGGGAAAUCGAGGAGAAACCUUGGCAAAGGACAACCAACUAAACGUUUCCGAACCCGAAAUAUCGCAUAUUUCCAAUGUCUGUCUGAAUCCAAAUUCACAAAGGGCUCAAGGUAACCUAUCUGACUCCAGCCACCAAAUAAAUGUUUAAAACCUUA